AGAGAUUUGUACAUUCGAGGUAUUUUUAAAAUUUUCGUAACAUUUUACCCUGUGAAUGGUAGUUGAAUUUACAUAUAACUUUUAUAUGUUUAUAUAAAACCGGUAGAAUACAUCUAGUAAAAAUGCAAAUAUACCAGUUAUUGACAAUCCCGAGAAUUCAGAAGUGUUUAAGUGUGGAUAUCAGCAUACAUUUGUAGUAAUUUAUAAAUACCCUCCAAUCGAAGGAAAAUUUUAAACAUUCGAUGUAACAACUUUAACAUACAAUCAAGGGAAACUAAUAAUAAGCCACUGAUACCUAGAUAUAAUACUAAAUAUACUCUUCUAUCAAGAUGUAAAAAUAAUUUGAAUAAAUAACGGGUUUUCCAAUAGGAAUGAUAUGAUUUCAAA